AUUUUUUUAAAAAAAUAAGAAUUCCAGGGCUGAGAAUAUGGCCCAGUUGUAGAGUGCUUGCCUAGCAUGCAUGAAGCUUUGGGUUCAGUUCCUCAGCACCAUAUAAACAGAAAAUGCUG